GGAGCCUUAGCUCAGUGGUAGAGUCCACGAUUCCAACUUGGCUUUGAUCUUUCAAAGAUUCGUAGGAUUAUCGUGUUGUCGUAGGUUCGAUCCCUGCAGGCUUCA
rfam:Cryptococcus amylolentus CBS 6039 supercont1.6, whole genome shotgun sequence.